GAUGAACGCUAGCUACAGGCUUAACACAUGCAAGUCGAGGGGAAACGACAUCGAAAGCUUGCUUUUGAUGGGCGUCGACCGGCGCACGGGAGAGUAACACGUAUCCAACCUGCCCAUCACUUGGGAAUAACCUUGCGAAAGUAAGACUAAUACCCAAUGACAUCCCACGAAGACAUCUGAAUGGGAUUAAAGAUUUAUCGGUGAUGGAUGGGGAUGCGUCUGAUUAGCUUGUUGGCGGGGUAACGGCCCACCAAGGCAACGAUCAGUAGGGGUUCUGAGAGGAAGGUCCCCCACAUUGGAACUGAGACACGGUCCAAACUCCUACGGGAGGCAGCAGUGAGGAAUAUUGGUCAAUGGGCGAGAGCCUGAACCAGCCAAGUAGCGUGCAGGAUGACGGCCCUAUGGGUUGUAAACUGCUUUUAUAAGGGAAUAAAGUGGGUCUCGUGAGACUUUUUGCAUGUACCUUAUGAAUAAGGACCGGCUAAUUCCGUG
rnacentral:rRNA from 1 species